AUGGAGAGAUCUAGAGAGCUUGGCCCCGCGGGAGCUGGCCCUGCGGGGACCCCGGAGGGGAGGGGGAGCCGGAAAGCCCCCGCCGAGGCCGUCGCUGUGGGGCCUCCCCCUCCCCCCCCGCCCGGGGCGGGCCCCGGGCGGGGGGGAGGGGCUCCGGCGACGCGGCAGCGCUGGAGUCGCCUGUUCGAGGAGUGGGACAGCAACAAGGACGGCAGUGUGGACGUGCACGAGUUGCGCCAGGGACUGGCCAGGCUGGGAGGGGGCCAUCCCGACCAUGCACAGCAGGGCAUCUCCUCUGAGGGGGACGCUGAUCCAGAUGGUGGCCUCAGCCUGGAGGAAUUCACCCGCUACCUGUAGGAGCGGGAGCAACGCCUUCUGCUCAUGUUUCAUAGCCUUGACCGGAACCAGGAUGGUCUCUGAGAUUCAGCAAAGCUUCCGAGCGCUGGGCAUCUCUAUCUCGCUGGAGCAGGCAGAGAAAAUCCUACACAGCAUGGACCGCGUUGGCACCAUGACCAUUGAUUGGCAGGAAUGGCGAGACCACUUUCUGCUGCACUCUCUGGAGAAUGUGGAGGAUGUCCUGUAUUUCUGGAAGCAUUCUACGGUCCUGGACAUUGGUGAAUGCCUGACGGUGUCUGAUGAGUUCUCCAAGCAGGAGAAACUUACCGGCAUGUGGUGGAAGCAGCUGGUGGCUGGCGCAGUGGCCGGCGCUGUGUCGCGGACAGGCACAGCUCCUCUGGACCGUCUCAAGGUCUUCAUGCAGGUCCAUGCCUCCAAGUCCAACCGGCUCAACAUCCUAGGGGGCCUGCGGAACAUGAUUCAAGAAGGGGGCAUCUUGUCCCUCUGGCGGGGCAAUGGUAUCAACGUGCUCAAGAUCACCCUUGAGUCAGCCAUCAAGUUCAUGGCUUACGAUCAGAUCAAGCGGGCUAUCCGGGGGCAGCAAGAGACGCUGCACGUUCAGGAGCGCUUCGUGGCUGGCUCCCUGGCCGGGGCCACAGCUCAAACCAUCAUAUACCCCAUGGAGGUACUGAAGACAAGGCUGACUCUACGGAAAACUGGCCAGUACAAGGGGCUCCUGGACUGCGCAAGGCGGAUCCUGUAGCGCGAAGGGCCCCCGUGCCUUCUACCGUGGUUACCUGCCUAACAUGCUGGGCAUCAUCCCCUAUGCUGGAAUCGAUCUAGCCGUCUACGAGGUCUGUGGAUAACCUACCAUCCCUCCCUCCCUUCUUUCUCGUUCUGGGAUCUGGCCGAGGACACUCUUUGCUUCUCAUAGCUAGGAAGGACAAUCGUAUACUUCAAAACUGCGGUGGACCUUGAAGCCCUGGAGAGCCCCUCCAGACAUCAUAC